rnacentral:rRNA from 1 species
GACGAACGCUGGCGGCGUGCUUAACACAUGCAAGUCGAACGGAAAGGCCCUGCUUUUGUGGGGUGCUCGAGUGGCGAACGGGUGAGUAACACGUGAGUAACCUGCCCUUGACUUUGGGAUAACUUCAGGAAACUGGGGCUAAUACCGGAUAGGAGCUCCUGCUGCAUGGUGGGGGUUGGAAAGUUUCGGCGGUUGGGGAUGGACUCGCGGCUUAUCAGCUUGUUGGUGGGGUAGUGGCUUACCAAGGCUUUGACGGGUAGCCGGCCUGAGAGGGUGACCGGCCACAUUGGGACUGAGAUACGGCCCAGACUCCUACGGGAGGCAGCAGUGGGGAAUAUUGCACAAUGGGCGGAAGCCUGAGGCAGCAACGCCGCGUGCGGGAUGACGGCCUUCGGGUGGUAAACCGCUUUCGCCUGUGACGAAGCGUGAGUGACGGUAAUGGGUAAAGAAGCACCGGCUAACUACGUG